rnacentral:rRNA from 1 species
UACGUAUGGUGCAAGCGUUAUCCGGAAUGACUGGGUGUAAAGGGAGCGUAGACGGUUGUACAAGUCUGAGGUGAAAGCCCACGGCUCAACUGUGGGAGUGCAUUGGAAACUGUAGAACUAGAGUAUCGGAGAGGCAAGUGGAAUUCCUAGUGUAGCGGUGAAAUGCGUAGAUAUUAGGAGGAACACCAGUGGCGAAGGCGGCUUGCUGGACGAAAACUGACGUUGAGGCUCGAAAGCGUGGGGAGCAAACAGG